AGGAUUCCCCUAGUAACUGCGAGUGAAGCGGGAAAAGCUCAAAUUUAAAAUCUGGCGGUCUUUGGCCGUCCGAGUUGUAAUCUAGAGAAGUAAUGCCCGUGCUGGACCGUGUAUAAGUCUCCUGGGAUGGGGCGUCAUAGAGGGUGAGAAUCCCGUCUUUGACACGGACUACCAGUGCAUUGUGGUAUGCUCUCAAAGAGUCGAGUUGUUUGGGAAUGCAGCUCAAAAUGGGUGGUAAAUUCCAUCUAAAGCUAAAUAUUGGCGAGAGACCGAUAGCGAACAAGUACCGUGAGGGAAAGAUGAAAAGAACUUUGGAAAGAGAGUUAAACAGUACGUGAAAUUGCUGAAAGGGAAACGCUUGAAGUCAGUCGCGUUGGCCGGGAAUCAGCCUUGCUUUUUGCAUGGUGUACUUUCUGGUUGACGGGUCAGCAUCAAUUUUGAUCACUGGAAAAGGCUCAGGGGAAUGUGGCAGCUUCGGCUGUGUUAUAGCCCUUGUUCACAUACAGUGGUUGGGAUUGAGGAACUCAGCACGCCGCAAGGCCGGGUUUCGACCACGUUCGUGCUUAGGAUGCUGGCAUAAUGGCUUUAAGCGACCCGUCUUGAAACACGGACCAAGGAGUCUAACAUGCCUGCGAGUAUUUGGGUGGAAAACCCAGGUGCGCAAUGAAAGUGAAAGUUGAGAUCCCUGUCGUGGGGAGCAUCGACGCCCGGACCAGAACUUUUGGGACGGAUCCGCGGUGGAGCAUGUAUGUUGGGACCCGAAAGAUGGUGAACUAUGCCUGAAUAGGGUGAAGCCAGAGGAAACUCUGGUGGAGGCUCGUAGCGAUUCUGACGUGCAAAUCGAUCGUCAAAUUUGGGUAUAGGGGCGAAA
rnacentral:rRNA from 1 species